rnacentral:misc_RNA from 1 species
GGAACUAGAUCAAGAUAAAGUGUAUUGUUGGACUAGCAACUCCUGGUUGUGAUUCCUUAGAGAUCUUUCAAUUCUCAAGUAGUGAAUGCAUGCAUGCACUCAAUCAUAAAUCUCCAUUGAUUAGUGAUAAAAUUCAUCGGUUUGUUCAUCAUCCAUCUGCUGGAAACACAAAUCUGGUAAGUACCCUCAAGUGAAGCCGGCGUUGAACAUUUUUAGACGCCUUUAUCUUGUUCUAUUAAAGACAGACACAUUGGAGAUUACCAGAGUCAUUUGCACCAGAAGCAUUGAACAAGGCCGCAGAUAGUCACGUCAUAGAGGAGUUUGGCCUUGUGAAUUUGCUGGUGUUGUGUCCAUUUCAAGGAGAGUUCUGGGUAGUUUCUUAGAAGGAUGUACCCGAUAUUACACUUGCAUUUGCUCAUGGAUUGUUCAUAGGACAAAAAAGAGAACUACGUGCCAAUGCACCCACUUGAUAUGUGCCAUGGCCUGGAGGGUUUCUUCAGUUGUCUUGUUUUCCAGAAACUGUGUCAAAGUAACCAUUGAACUUGCACCAAGUGGGUGUAUUAUUUUCUUUUCCUUCU